CGGAGCGGCAUGCGCUUACCACUGCGGAGAUGGCGCGGACCACUUUCACCGGAUCGGCCCUGGCGGCGUGACUGAGCUCGGACUUGUCCAGGACGAGCGAGCACGUGGGCAGCACAAUGUCUUCAAACUGGAAAAAAACCGACGUCACGACUCCGGCCUCCGGCAGACAGAGCUGUGCGCUGGAGACUGGAACGCAGUCCCGUGACCUUAAUUCGUGUGCCGCUCUAAUUGUCGCAAGAUGCCGGAACCUGCACUUGCCUACCUGACCGAAAAUCCAGUGCCGACCCCAUGGUUGCUUCGAGGACCCCACGUACACCUUGCCAACAUCAUUGA